rnacentral:rRNA from 1 species
ACUCAAUAGAUACCCUGGUAGUCCACGCCCUAAACGAUGUCUACUAGUUGUCGGGUCUUAAUUGACUUGGUAAACGCAGCUAAACGCGUGAAGUAGACCGCCUGGGGAGUACGGUCGCAAGAUUAAAACUCAAAGGAAUUGACGGGGACCCGCACAAGCGGUGGAUGAUGUGGAUUAAAUUCGAUGCAACGCGAAAAACCUUACCUACCCUUGACAUGGAUGGAAUCCCUGAGAGAUUGGGGAGUGCCCGAAAGGGAACCAUUACACAGGUGCUGCAUGGCUGUCGUCAGCUCGUGUCGUGAGAUGUUGGGUUAAGUCCCGCAACGAGCGCAACCCUUGUCAUUAGUUGCUACGAAAGGGCACUCUAAUGAGACUGCCGGUGACAAACCGGAGGAAGGUGGGGAUGACGUCAAGUCCUCAUGGCCCUUAUGGGUAGGGCUUCACA